UACUCCUUGUAGUGGAUCACUCGGCUCGUAUGUCGAUGAAGAGUGCAGCAAAUUGUGAUAAGUAUUGCGAAAUGCUCACUGCUUCGAACAUCGACAGCUUGAACGCAAAUGGCAGCCAUGGUGUUAAUCAUGGCUACGUUUGGUCGAGCGCUG
rnacentral:rRNA from 1 species